UUUCUUUCAUUUAGAAAUAAAUGUUAAUCAGACUGUGUAAGCUCUCUCAGCAACAUCUCUGGGAAUGUCCAUUGGAAAAGGGGUCACACAAGCAAUGAAGGUAUGGUCUUGGCAUUGGAUAAACGGGAGUGAACAAAACUAUCAAAACUCUCUCUCUCAUGGAGUUUACAUUUUGGUACCAGAAAUCAUGAAAACAAUGAAGACUAAAGGAACUGACAUUCCAGGAAAGGAAGAACCAUUCCUAAGGUAAGCAAAGAUCACUAGCCAUUUUCUUUCUUAUAGGUUUCCUGUGUAAUUUGUUUUGGAAAUUAAGCCUGCAGUUGCA
rnacentral:lncRNA from 1 species